AGGCCAAAUGAAAUGGAUGCAUAAAGAAGAGGAAUGAGAUGAAGAGGGAGGGGAAUGGAUCAAAACUCAAGUUGGUCAAAGGAGGACUUUUACCAAAUUAAUAUCAUCCAUUCAUUUCGGGAGAUGGAAUGUACAUUCCAUCAAUCCCCUAAAUCCAAUGAUAUUAACUUGACAAAGUCAAAUAAACCUUGACUAAGGCUCAACAACAGGAGUCAAACUCAAACAAGUCAUGACGAUUGGU
rnacentral:lncRNA from 1 species